CUCAGAUAGAGACAUAAAGCAUCUUAUUUCAUCAGAAAAUGAAAGAGUGCCCGCGUGAUCACUGCAAAUGAGACUAAUAGGUCUCAUAUCAAACAAAUGGGAGCGCAGAGGACUGGAGAGAUUUGCACUAGGCAAGAGGUGCAAUCACAAAAUGAACACAAAUGACACCCUGGGAAGAUGCUGAGUAAAUGACAACCAUCAAACACAAUCCUGACAUGUGAGGCAACGGCGGUGCAAUUUAACACACAGGAACCAUGAUGAUUCUUGUCACGUGGGGGUUAAAAUGACUGCUCUGAUUACUUAUAAACCGGUAUUUGCAUACCCAAGAGUAAGCUGAUGUCAAUUUGGAAGCGGUGAGGAAGAGAAAAUCCAUCAGAGGACGAAGAGGAUGAGGAAGUGGACCAUAUUCUCCCUGGAGUGUGGCACGCAAAUGAUUUUUUGGGAAACGUGAUAAACAGCGGCAUCAUUUGGUGUUUACCGUCCUGAUGAGCCCUGCUGGUAGUGAGAUGGAGCUGGCUGCAGCGAGCUCUGCUGCAGAGCUGGGAUCUGCCAAGUUUUGUUAGGAUAACGGGAGCAACAUUGGCCUGGGGCGGGCAGAAGGACCUGCUGUUUCUAACUGCAUCCCUGCACUGUCUGCAGAAUCAAAGUACAGUAACUCCUCUGUCGGACUCCAUUGCCACGACAAUGACACACAACCAAGAAACUCAAAAUUCAUUGUGUUUCCUUGAGGUCUAACAAACGUGUUUGAAUGCAUUUCCUUCCUCAUAAAACAUUUGCAACGCCCUUAUCAAA